rnacentral:rRNA from 1 species
ACGCUCGACACCUACGGGAGGUAGCAGUGGGGAAUAUUGGGCAAUGGGCGCAAGCCUGACCCAGCAACGCCGCGUGAAGGAUGAAGGCUUUCGGGUUGUAAACUUCUUUUAUUCGGGACGAAGAAAAUGACGGUACCGAAUGAAUAAGCCACGGCUAACUACGUGCCAGCAGCAGCGGUAAUCUGAGCGGGCUGGCAAGGC